AUUGAACGCUGGCGGCAUGCCUUACACAUGCAAGUCGAACGGCAGCACGGGUGCUUGCACCUGGUGGCGAGUGGCGAACGGGUGAGUAAUACAUCGGAACGUACCUUAUCGUGGGGGAUAACGCAGCGAAAGCUGUGCUAAUACCGCAUACGCCCUGAGGGGGAAAGCGGGGGAUCGCAAGACCUCGCGCGAUUAGAGCGGCCGAUGCCUGAUUAGCUCGUUGGUGGGGUAAAAGCCCACCAAGGCGACGAUCAGUAGCUGGUCUGAGAGGACGAUCAGCCACACUGGGACUGAGACACGGCCCAGACUCCUACGGGAGGCAGCAGUGGGGAAUUUUGGACAAUGGGGGCAACCCUGAUCCAGCAAUGCCGCGUGAGUGAAGAAGGCCUUCGGGUUGUAAAGCUCUUUUGUCAGGGAAGAAACACCGGCUCUAACACAGUCUGGGAAUGACGGUACCUGAAGAAUAAGCACCGGCUAACUACGUGCCAGCCGCCGCAGUAA
rnacentral:rRNA from 1 species